rnacentral:rRNA from 1 species
UACGGAGGGGGUUAGCGUUGUUCGGAAUUACUGGGCGUAAAGCGCACGUAGGCGGAUCAGAAAGUUGGGGGUGAAAUCCCGGGGCUCAACCCCGGAACUGCCUCCAAAACUUCUGGUCUGGAGUUCGAGAGAGGUGAGUGGAAUUGCGAGUGUAGAGGUGAAAUUCGUAGAUAUUCGCAGGAACACCAGUGGCGAAGGCGGCUCACUGGCUCGAUACUGACGCUGAGGUGCGAAAGUGUGGGGAGCAAAC